CAAAGGCUUGGUCCUGACUUUAUUGUCAGCUCUUACUAUACUUAUACAUGCAAGUAUCUGCCCCCCUGUGAGAAUGCCCAUAACGCCCUACUGGGACAAAGGAGCCGGCAUCAGGCACGCAUCCCGCAGCCCACAACGCCUUGCUUAGCCACACCCCUAAGGGAAAUCAGCAGUAAUAGACAUUAAGCAAUAAGUGAAAACUUGACUUAGUUAAAGUAAACCUGGGUCGGUAAAAACUCGUGCCAGCCACCGCGGUUAGACGAGAAACCCAAGUUGACAAACAACGGCACAAUGCGUGGUUAGGAAACCCCAUAAAACUAAAGCCAAACCCUUUCAUGGCCGUUAUACGCAUCCGAAAGCACGAAGCCCGACAACGAAAGUGGCUUUAUCCCCCUGAACCCACGAAAGCUAAGGAACAAACUGGGAUUAGAUACCCCACUAUGCUUAGCCCUAAACAUUGACCUUAACCCUAACAAACAUCCGCCCGGGUAUUACAAACAUGAGUUUAAAACCCAAAGGACUUGGCGGUGCUUAAAACCCCCCUAGAGGAGCCUGUUCUAAAACCGAUAACCCCCGUUAAACCUCACCCUUCCUUGUUAAUCCCGCCUGUAUACCUCCGUCGUCAGCUUACCCUGUAAAGGCCACAUAGUAAGCAAAAUCGGCACAGCCCAGAACGUCAGGUCAAGGUGCAGCGCAUGGUAGGGGUAGAAAUGGGCUACAUUCGCUAGCCCCUAGCGAACACGAAUGGCGCACUGAAACAUGGCGCCUAAAGGAGGAUUUAGAAGUAAGCCAGAAAUAGAGCGUCUCGCUGAAACUCGGCCCUUAAGCGCGCACACACCGCCCGUCACCCUCUCCUAGCACCCCCCCCCUCCUGUUUUAAUAAAAAACUACCCCGCUAAAAGAAGAGGAAAGUCGUAACAUGGUAAGUGUACUGGAAAGUGCGCUUGGCUAAAA
rnacentral:ncRNA from 1 species